GCAGUAGUUACCACGGGACGCGGGUGAAACCGCGGAUUCAAUUCAAGACCAGGAUAGUUCGAGAUUAUUAUACGUAGGUAUCUCUUUUUUAGCGUAGGACGUCCACCAACAAGGUGGACAGACGACCUUAUAAAGGUCGCCGUCGACGCUGGAUGCAGGUCGCCUCCAACAGGUAUCUGUGGAGAUCUAAGGGGGAGGCCUAUGUUCAGCAGUGGACGUCCGCCGCCUGAGAUGAUGAUGAU